GUGCUCGCUUCAGCAGCACAUAUACUAAAAUUGGAACAAUGCAGAGAUGAGCAUGGCCCCUUCACAAGGAUGGCACGCAAAUCCGUGAAGCGUUCCAUAUUUUU